GACGAACGCUGGCGGCGUGCUUAACACAUGCAAGUCGAACGGAAAGGCCCUGCUUUUGUGGGGUGCUCGAGUGGCGAACGGGUGAGUAACACGUGAGUAACCUGCUCUUGACUUUGGGAUAACUUCAGGAAACUGGGGCUAAUACCGGAUAGGAGCUCCUGCUGCAUGGUGGGGGUUGGAAAGUUUCGGCGGUUGGGGAUGGACUCGCGGCCUAUCAGCUUGUUGGUGGGGUAGUGGCUUACCAAGGCUUUGACGGGUAGCCGGCCUGAGAGGGUGACCGGCCACAUUGGGACUGAGAUACGGCGCAGACUCCUACGGGAGACAGCAGUGGGGAAUAUUGCACAAUGGGUGGAAGCCUGAUGCAGCAACGCCGCGUGCGGGAUGACGGCCUUCGGGUUGUAAACCGCUUUCGCCUGUGACGAAGCGUGAGUGACGGUAAUGGGUAAAGAAGCACCGGCUAACUACGUG
rnacentral:rRNA from 1 species